CCUACGGGCGGCAGCAGUGAGGAAUAUUGGUCAAUGGCCGGAAGGCUGAACCAGCCAUGCCGCGUGAAGGUCAGUGCCCUCUGGGCGUUAAACUUCUUUUGUGCGGGAGCAAUAAUGGUCACGUGUGGCCAGACGAGAGUACCGUACGAAUAAGCAUCGGCUAACUCCGUGGCAGCAGCCGCGGUACUACGGGGGAUGCACGCGUUAUCCGGAUUUAUUGGGUUUAAAGGGUGCGUAGGCUGUGAGGUAAGUCAGCGGUGAAAUGCCCCCGCUCAACGGGGUGAAGUGCCAUUGAUACUGCCGUGCUGGAAUGCGGAUGCCGUGGGAGGAAUGUGUGGUGUAGCGGUGAAAUGCGUAGAUAUACGGAGGAACACCAGUGGCGAAGGCGGCCUGCUGGACAUUAACUGACGCUGAGGCGCGAAAGCGUGGGGAGCAAACAGGAUUAGAUACCCCGGUAGUC
rnacentral:rRNA from 1 species